CCGCGUGGGUGAAGAAGGCCUUCGGGUUGUAAAGCCCUUUUGUUGGGAAAGAAAUCCGCUUGGUUAAUACCCGGUUGGGAUGACGGUACCCAAAGAAUAAUCACCGGCUAACUUCGUGCCAGCAGCCGCGGUAAUACCAAGGGUGCAAGCGUUACUCGGAAUUACUGGGCGUAAAGCGUGCGUAGGUGGUCGGUUAAGUCCGUAGGGAAAGCCCUGGGCUCAACCUGGGAACUGCAGUGGAAACUGGACGACUAGAGUGUGGUAAAGGGUAGCGGAAUUCCUGGUGGAGCAGAGAAAUGCGUAAAGAUCAAGAGGAACAUCCAUGGCGAAGGCAGCUACCUGGACCAACACUGACACUGAUGCACGAAAGCGUGGGGAGCAAACAGGAUUAGAUACCCUGGUAGUCCACGCCCUAAACGAUGCGAACUGGAUGUUGGGUGCAAUUUGGCACGCAGUAUCGAAGCUAACGCGUUAAGUUCGCCGCCUGGGGAGUACGGUCGCAAGACUGAAACUCACAGGAAUUGACGGGGGCCCGCACAAGCGGUGGAGUAUGUGGUUUAAUUCGAAUGCACCUCACCAGAACCUUAACCUGGCCUUGACAUGUCCAGAACUUUCUCAG
rnacentral:rRNA from 1 species